GAGAGUUACCGGACAGACAAACCUAUCCUAGAGUUUUGCUUGAGUUACUGCUCCUGCGUCACCUUCAUCAUUAGUGAUGGUCUGGGAAUGUGUAGGGAAUAGUACAGCGACAUAUGAAUAAUAAUAAUAAUAAUAAUAAAAAAGAAAAAAAAAGUUCGGAAUAAAAGUAGAGAUAAACUACAGAUUAUAGCUGAACUUCCUUAUCAGGAAGAUUUAGUCUACAGCAGCAACGUAAAACGUAUUACAUAAUUUUGUGCAUAUUGCCCAAUGUCACUAAUGAGUGUUUUUAUCCUCUUCGCCAGCCACGAUAUGGAGUUUUUGGCCCCCUUCUGUAUUUGGUUGUCCUCAGUGUCCUGGCUUGUGCUGGCAUUCAUGGCUUCGUUGGAGGGUACUUCGGGUUAGUCUCUAUUGCCUUGUUGCUUGAAUUUAAGAUUUUUACCUUGAAAAUGAAAUAUUGUUUGAAUGUGACACUUUCUCUUGACCAUAUGUGUCAGUACUUCAGAUAUCGGCAUAAGUAUCACAAUAACAGCCGUGCUGUCACCUGGACACAGCCGUGAAGGACAGCUGGGAUGCUGACGCGACCACGGCGGUGAGAAACGUUCUGCUGGCGUCAUCAGAAGGUGACUCGUCUCUCAUCAUUAUUGCAGAAAACAGAUUGAUGGUGAGGCUUUGCGUUUUGUCGUUUGUGGAUGAGAUAGUUUUAAAUCUUAGGGUUCAAUGAAUACUGGCUUGAUGAAACAAUGAUAAUUAUUCUAGAUUGGAGUAGAAACAUUCAUCGGGGCCUUUCGAGGCGUGGCGGUGUUUGAGGAGGCCACGAAUGGGUCGCAGCUCUCCCAGGUGGUCACGCAUGCCCGUCAGGUGCGGGUGGCAUCGUGGAUGGUCGUGGUGGUGGUGGUGAGUGACAACCCAGUCUUCCUGGCCGCCUUCGCCCAACAGGCCCGUGAGGGUCGCCUGCUGGUGUGGGCCACGAGGCUCAUUGUGGUGAGCCGCCGCGCCCCACACCGCCUCCACCCGCUCCACCAGACUCUCGCCCUUACCAACUCCCUCCUGCUGCUGGUGGAUGGCGCGGCGGGGGUGAGCAGGUGUGUGUGUGUCUAUGUGGAGGCUGUGCUGCACACAGACAAGCCUCUCAUGUACUGUACUGUUUUCAUGACCACCAUGUGACUGUCUGGUUCUCUGUAUGCUUGUGAACACUGUCACAGCCAAGCAGAGUACCGCUGUUCCAGGGCUGCUGGUUGGGUGGUAAUGCCAUACCAACGACCUGGCGUCGCCCCGCUGCGGGUUGCCUCCUGGACGGCGAAGGGCAACCUUUCAUUGCAUCGGCCGCUCUUCUGGGACAAAUUUAGCAAGUGGGUCGUAGUAUUCCUUUAUGUAACAAUGAAAUGAUGGCUGUUUAAGAAUACAUAUGAAACAAAAUUUGAAAACCAUGGAGACUUCUUUCUUCCUUAGAAGUGAACAUAACACUAAAUUUAGUUUCUCAUGCUUCUUUCUUCCAAUCAUACCCCUUCAUAGGCUCUCUGGUGAAACGAAUUUACUGGUGACAUUGGAAACAAGCCACAGGCAUUCAGUGGUGAUGCAUCCAGACCCGACGGCCCCUGGAGGCGUGCGGUUGGAGUUCAGGGGUUUCAUGGUCACUGUUCUCGACUAUUUUGCGCAAGGAAUCAACUUCUCGUAAGGGAGAGAAUCUCCUACGAAAAUGACUUUUAUUGAAGAUACAUUUUCAUAUCUGACACCAUGAUAUUACAUACUUGAAAUUUUAUCAUUAUGAAUGCAUGAGAAUUUUAUGAAGAGGUGCAGGUCUAGCUUAAUGAUAGCAUUUGUUGUUCGUCUGUGGCGUGGAAGGUACACGUUCGAGCGAGCGCCAGACCAGUCUUGGGGCGCCAAGAUGCGAGAUGGGUCCUUUACGGGCAUGCUGGGUCUGGUCAACAGGGAGGUAUUACUACACACGCACGCACGCGCACGCACGCACGCACACACACACACACGCACACAAGCGCACACACACACACACACACACACACACACACACACACACACACACACACACACACACACACACACACACACACACACACACACACACACACACACACACGCACA